AAUUUGUUUGGCCUUCUCUAGGCUGACCGGGCUUCCCUAGCCUGUUGGAAGAUCCCAUGUGGAACCAUUAGACAGAAUGAAAACUCAGGAUAUUCCUUUGCUUCCGAGUUGUUGGAAAUUUAGGUUGUAACUAAAUGGGAUGUUUUCUUUUUCCAUCCUCUUUGUUUCUUUUUAACGUCUAUAGGUGCAGAAUAGGGAUACCAUUGAUGUCAUGCAAUUUAUUCUUCUUUGUUAAGGUGGUUAUAUUAAAUACAGUUAGUUCUGCUAUAACAUGACUUAAGCGUUCCUGAAAAACACGAUGCUACACAAAAUUGUUGAAUAAAAGCCGUAGAACUUAUGGGGAAAAAAUGAAGUUAGGUACACAACAAUCAAAACUGUUGGGGGCGCCUGCGUGGCUCAUUCAGUUAAGCGUCUGACUUCGGCUCGGGUCAUGAUCUUACGGUUUGUGGGUUCGAGCCCCGCGUCGUGCUCUGUGCUGACAGCUCAGAGCCUGGGAGCCUGCUUGGGAUUCUGUCUCCUUCUCUCUCUGCCCCUUCCCCGCUUGCAGUGUGUCUGUCUCUCUCUCAAAAAUAAAUAAGCAUUAAAAAAAAAUUGACAUUGAUACUUCAUGGCCAUGUAAUCCUUGAGUCCCCAUUAGAGUGUUGCCAAUUGCCCCAAUAAUGUCUUUUAUAUCAAAAUAAUUAACAGUUCAGUUCAUGGGGUGCCUGGGUGGCUCAGUCGAUUACAUGUUCGACUUCGACUCGGGCCAUGAUCUCUCGGUUUGUGAGUUCGAGCCCCGCGUCGGGCUCUGUGCUGGCAGCUCGGAGCCUGGAGCCUGCUUCGGAUUCUGUGUUUCCCUCUCUCUCUGCUCCUCCCCCACUCGCACUCUGUCCUCUGUCUCUGUCUCUGUCUCUCUCUCUCUCAAAAAUAAACAUAAAAAAUUUAAAAAAAUAGUUCAGCUCAGAAUCACUUCUUUUACUUUCUGGCAUGACAACGUGUUCUAGGCACAUUUGUGCCUUCCUUAUCCCAGAUCUGGAAUCAGCUCUUUCGCCAAAGAAUCCUGAUUCUUUUUGGUGGAGGAUCGAUAUGUAGAAGCGAAGAUCCAGGUCCUUUGUGCCCUCACUGCUAUUGGAGUGUCCAGGCUUCUUGCCUCAGUGUAUAAAUCUAUGGAAUAUGUGUAUGUGGACACAUACCCACAUUGGCAUCUAUAUUUCUACAUGCAUGUAAAUGGAAAGUUGUGACUUCACAUCACUACCUGCCAUUUACAGCUAACACCUCAGGGUUCAUUCUAGUUUUCUCCCUCUCCAUAUUUGUAAUUCCUUCCUUUGGCGGUGAGAAUCCCAGCUCCCGUUUUUCUUAAUAUAUUUACUUAAUUGAUCAAUUCUUUGUAUGCACCUUGCUGCUUUAUCCCCAGUCCCUGUUUGGACAUCCUUCUUACCCCAAACAGUUCAGUUCUCUUUGCUGGGCUUUCCUCCUCCGUCCUUAUCCCACUUAAGCUCUCAUGCUCUGCACCAGCCUCUCCGCCAGCGUGGGUGCCCUCUUUGCCCCACGUGGGUUCUGACACCGUGGACUGGACUGCUUGCUCCUCCCUGGGCAGACACUCCUCUCAGCCCUGCUUGGGCUGUGGCACCCCAACUCUGGCAUCCCCCUCUUUCUGCUGAGUGCCCUCUUCACCCUUCCUGGUUCUGACACUGCAUUCAGGACAGCCCUCGUCCCGCAGUGCUCAGGCCUCCAUCCGUGGCCCGCGUUGUGUUCCCCCCACCCCCAGACACCUCAGCACAGACCCCUUCCGAGCUCAGUCCCACCUAACGGCUUUAGGACUGAAGUGUUUUGGAAGAAAAGGAUUGACUUGUUUCAGAAGGGGUCUACAUAAAACUUUUUGCUAAGUAAAUUCACAUUUUGGGGGGAAAAUUGUUCACCCGGGGCCAUGUCACCUAGAUCAUUUUCUGUGUCUCUCGGUGCACAGGAUCAUUCUUGAUUUCUUCCUACGGGCUGCCCGUUUUUAACUAACCAGAGGGUGAAGUCUGUAGCCCACGUAAUUCUGAUGAGUCUUUUUUUUUUUUUCCUCCCCUCUUCAGACUUCCCUGUGAUAUAGAUGGGGACUGUAGUGUUUGAGAAAGCCUGCUUUCCAGAAGUGACGGUCUUGGUCCGUAGUUUGCAUUUCUGUGUCUCCCCUUCUAGCUCAGUGGCCCAUCCUCCCCUCUCCCACCAUGACAGUGGCAGCAGGUGCUGUCCCCUUUGGCUGAGCCCUCUCUGUAGGUGUUUUGCAUGUGUUACCCUAUUAAAACGCCCUACCUCUGUGAGAUGUACGGGUUUUACAGGUGAGGAAACCAAGGGUGGGAGGGGUUAAAUAAUUUGUUCAAGGUCACAUAACUUGUAAGAGGUUAGCAGUAUAAUUUGAAUCCAAGCCUGCUUUUUUCCUAGAGCCUAUCCUCGUGACUGUGUGAUGCUGCCUCUGUAGGAUUAGGAUAAAUUUGAGGAGGCUGAAUUUUUCAAUCCCUGUUUUUGAUUCCUUUUGAUUUAGGAAGAGGAAGCAUAAGCUCUUGAAAGUUAUAGUUGGAAGAAGAAAAAUAGACGCCAUUAGCUGCCUGGAAACAGUGCCACUUAAAUGCUGGCAUUCCUGGAAUGGGCCCAAAGGAGUGGCUACAUAUACGGAACAUAACAGGAUGGAAGAAUUACAACAUAAAAGAGUGGGAGAGGAUAUUCAAGAUGACUGGAAUGACCUCUGUAUAUUACAGGUGGGGAAAUGGAAUUUUAGAGAUGGUGAAGGAUUUAUGCAGUCUCCCAGGCAAUACCAAGACUAGAACUCAUUUCUUGUCCAGUUAUUAAACCAAGGAUUUUCAUAAAGGUGGCAUUGGAUGAUGAUGAUAUGACAAUAGCAGGAUUUUUUUUUUUUUUUUUGGUGGGGGCGAGGCUGAGAGAGGCUUGUGUAUAAAUAGAAAAAGCACACUCAACACACCUAUUGUUUUUAUAGUGCAGACUACAGUGAAUAAGUUAAAAAAAAACAAAAAAACUUGGCAGAUGGGAAUACACCGAAGAUAGUGAGAAA